GUGCAUUCUUAGACACUUGGCAGUUUUGCUCUAAAUGCUUCGAAGAUAUGAAUGAAUGCUAUAGAAAUUGCAGGGAGUCCAAAAGUCUGCAUUUCUCUAAGGUUCAGUCUUAUUUCAUACCUGCAACAUCU
rfam:Erinaceus europaeus unplaced genomic scaffold scaffold00238, whole genome shotgun sequence